rnacentral:rRNA from 1 species
UGGGGAAUAUUGGACAAUGGGGGCAACCCUGAUCCAGCCAUGCCGCGUGAGUGAUGAAGGCCUUAGGGUUGUAAAGCUCUUUCGUCAGGGAAGAUAAUGACGGUACCUGAAGAAGAAGCCCCGGCUAACUUCGUGCCAGCAGCCGCGGUAAUACGAAGGGGGCUAGCGUUGUUCGGAAUUACUGGGCGUAAAGCGCACGUAGGCGGACAUUUAAGUCAGGGGUGAAAUCCCAGGGCUCAACCCUGGAACUGCCUUUGAUACUGGGUGUCUUGAGUACGAGAGAGGUGAGUGGAAUUCCGAGUGUAGAGGUGAAAUUCGUAGAUAUUCGGAAGAACACCAGUGGCGAAGGCGGCUCACUGGCUCGUAACUGACGCUGAGGUGCGAAAGCGUGGGGAGCAAACAG